UGGGGAAUAUUGCACAAUGGGCGAAAGCCUGAUGCAGCGACGCCGCGUGAGGGAUGACGGCCUUCGGGUUGUAAACCUCUUUCAGCAGGGACGAAGCGCAAGUGACGGUACCUGCAGAAGAAGCACCGGCUAACUACGUGCCAGAAGCCGCGGUAAUACGUAGGGUGCAAGCGUUGUCCGGAAUUACUGGGCGUAAAGAGUUCGUAGGCGGUUUGUCGCGUCGUUUGUGAAAACCAGCAGCUCAACUGCUGGCUUGCAGGCGAUACGGGCAGACUUGAGUACUGCAGGGGAGACUGGAAUUCCUGGUGUAGCGGUGAAAUGCGCAGAUAUCAGGAGGAACACCGGUGGCGAAGGCGGGUCUCUGGGCAGUAACUGACGCUGAGGAACGAAAGCGUGGGUAGCGAACAGG
rnacentral:rRNA from 1 species